AUGUUGGCCACAUGGGUAUGGUGUGCAAGUGGAAAAAAAACUGCAGACCCUCAGGAGAAUAAAAGCAGGACAGAGGCUGUGGUGGGUGAGAGAGGAAAAGUGCACUUUGAAGCAGAGGAUGCACUGCUGGCACUGCCUAUUGAAUCCACUGCAAUCAUGUUCCUUCUCUCUCCUUUCCGAUUGUUCACCGUCUCUCAAGGGUUGACCUUUAGUGAUGACGUGCCGCAACUCCCUGGACUCAGCAGUGAAGAUGUUCAAGCCCAGCACAACAGGACCAUAAGAAAGACAUUGAGGCCCCUCACUACAAGAAAGACAGUGAAGCCCUGGAGCAUGGCCAGAGAAGAGCAACAAAGAUGUGUGAACUACAGAGAGCCCUGCCUGGCAGGUAAUCUCACAUGAGGAGCACACCUGAAUGCUGGGAACCCCCAGGAACUUUGUGGCCAUCUAUCAGCACCGACACACAGAAAUUGAGGAUCUGGAGCACACCUGCAGCCAUCUGGAAGCCAGACUGUGAGAAAAGAGGCUCCUGAAGGAAUAUUGGCAGCUGUUCCUGGACAGUGCUGCAUUGAAAAUGUUGCUGUGAUGAGAAAAUUGGAGGCCAGAAUGAGGAUGUGAAAUAAUGCUGAUCUCCAGCAGUUACAAGCUGAAAGGGAGGAGCUUGAAGAAAAACAUCAGGGAACCAAAUGCUGGGAUAUAUGAUGAACAAGAUAUUCCCACAUGCUGAAACUCAGUGUGUAAGCGAAGCUCUAAUGUUAAGCACAAAAUGGGGAAAAUGUAGCUGUAGGGAAGGAGUUGUAGGUGCUCACUGAAAGUACAACCCUGCCAAGACUUCCCUCUGAGGCCUGGAGAAGUAUCAGGCUGCACGUUAAUGAGAGCAUGGGGGUCCAUCAUACUCAGGGCUUGGAAGACCAUGUCUACAAGUUGUCCAAUGCUCCCACAUCGGAAUUGUAGAAUACCCUGAGUUGGAAAAGACCCACAAGGAUCACUGAAGCUACCUCCAGGCUCCACACUGGACCACCCAUCAACCAGACCAUAUGUCUGAGAGUAUGCCCUGUGCAGCCCGUUCCAUGCCCACCGCCCUGUGGUGCAGCCCCUUUCCCUGACCCCCAGCUGCCCUCCCCUGACACAGCUCCAUGCCGUUCCCUCGGGCCCUGUCGCUGUCACACAGAGCAGAGCUCAGCGCUGCCCCUCCGCUCCCUGUGAGGAGCUGCAGCCACCAUCAGGCCUCCCCUCAGCCUAAACUUAAUUCAAUUUAUUGAAGUAUAUUUGAUUUGGUCAAUCAGCCCCAAAGCCUGCAUAGAUAUUUGUAUUUCAGAGGAAAAAUGGAUUACUGCAAGCUAUGUCAACUGACCUAACUUCUCUGCAAAGCUGUUGCCCCUUUGUGCUUAAAGGACUGUGU
rnacentral:lncRNA from 1 species